rnacentral:rRNA from 1 species
UACGAAGGGUGCAAGCGUUACUCGGAAUUACUGGGCGUAAAGCGUGCGUAGGUGGUGGUUUAAGUCUGCUGUGAAAGCCCUGGGCUCAACCUGGGAAUUGCAGUGGAUACUGGGUCACUAGAGUGUGGUAGAGGGAUGCGGAAUUUCUGGUGUAGCAGUGAAAUGCGUAGAGAUCAGAAGGAACAUCCGUGGCGAAGGCGGCAUCCUGGGCCAACACUGACACUGAGGCACGAAAGCGUGGGGAGCAAACAGGAUUAGAUACCCUGGUAGUCCACGCCCUAAACGAUGCGAACUGGAUGUUGGGUGCAACUUGGCACCCAGUAUCGAAGCUAACGCGUUAAGUUCGCCGCCUGGGGAGUACGGUCGCAAGACUGAA